AACUGAUCUAGUUCGAUAAAUAAGACUGGUUUAUCGGUUUAAACGGUUCGGUUUGAUCUAUCAAAAUUUCACGUGGUUUGGAUAUUUCUAUACUGUUAAACUUGCAAACGGCUCACUACGGUCAUUGAAAUUUGUUGAUUUUUAGCCCAUUCGAUCACUAGGCAAAUGAUAUCGAAAAAUAAUAAAAUUUAUUUUCUAGGUACUCCAAAUACUCUAAAUCAAGUUUAACGGAGUCGAUCGACGAUUCGAAAGUCGCAACAUUGAAAACGAACUGGAAGCAUGGAAGGCUCCGUGCUUCCGAUAG
rnacentral:lncRNA from 1 species